rnacentral:rRNA from 1 species
CUUAACACAUGCAAGUCGAGGGGAAACGACAUCGAAAGCUUGCUUUUGAUGGGCGUCGACCGGCGCACGGGUGAGUAACGCGUAUCCAACCUGCCCACCACUUGGGGAUAACCUUGCGAAAGUAAGACUAAUACCCAAUGACGUCUCUAGAAGACAUCUGAAAGGGAUUAAAGAUUUAUCGGUGAUGGAUGGGGAUGCGUCUGAUUAGCUUGUUGGCGGGGUAACGGCCCACCAAGGCGACGAUCAGUAGGGGUUCUGAGAGGAAGGUCCCCCACAUUGGAACUGAGACACGGUCCAAACUCCUACGGGAGGCAGCAGUGAGGAAUAUUGGUCAAUGGACGAGAGUCUGAACCAGCCAAGUAGCGUGCAGGAUGACGGCCCUAUGGGUUGUAAACUGCUUUUAUAAGGGAAUAAAGUGAGCCUCGUGAGGCUUUUUGCAUGUACCUUAUGAAUAAGGACCGGCUAAUUCCGUGCCAGCAGCCGCGGUAAUACGGAAGGUCCGGGCGUUAUCCGGAUUUAUUGGGUUUAAAGGGAGCGUAGGCCGGAGAUUAAGCGUGUUGUGAAAUGUAGAUGCUCAACAUCUGCACUGCAGCGCGAACUGGUUUCCUUGAGUACGCACAAAGUGGGCGGAAUUCGUGGUGUAGCGGUGAAAUGCUUAGAUAUCACGAAGAACUCCGAUUGCGAAGGCAGCUCACUGGAGCGCAACUGACGCUGAAGCUCGAAAGUGCGGGUAUCGAACAGGAUUAGAUACCCUGGUAGUCCGCACGGUAAACGAUGGAUGCCCGCUGUUGGUCUGAAUAGGUCAGCGGCCAAGCGAAAGCA